rnacentral:rRNA from 1 species
UACGUAGGGGGCGAGCGUUGUCCGGAUUCAUUGGGCGUAAAGCGCGCGUAGGCGGCUCCGCAAGUCGGCCGUGAAAUCUCCGGGCUCAACUCGGAGGGGUCGGGCGAGACUGCGGGGCUCGAGGUGGGCAGAGGGCAGUGGAAUUCCGGGUGUAGUGGUGGAAUGCGUAGAGAUCCGGAGGAACACCAGUGGCGAAGGCGGCUGCCUGGGCCUGGCCUGACGCUGAAGCGCGACAGCGUGGGGAGCAAACAGG